CUCUCGCUUGGACAACUCUUGCCCCAGGAAUCCCUGAAACGGGUCUCGGCUACGCGCUCGCACGUCGCACCGCACCGCAGGAGUACGGCGCUUGCUUAAACCCCUCUUCGGCUUCCUCCCACUCCCCACUUGCCGUGCGCUUCCACCCGCCGGUCCCCAUGGCGCCCAAGGUUCUCAUGGUCGCGGAGAAGCCCAGCAUCGCGCUCUCCAUCGCCUCCGCCCUCUCCGGUGGCCGCAUGUCUACAAGGAAGGGAAGCACAGAUGUCCAUGAGUUUGAUGGGAUGUUUCAGGGUUCUUAUGCAAAUUUCAAAGUGACAUCAGUCAUUGGACAUGUCUUAAGUGUAGAUUUCCCCCCUGCAUAUCAGAACUGGGAAGGAACUGAUCCAAUGGACCUAUUUGAGGCUCCAGUUCUGAGAUCUGAAUGCAACCCAAAGGCUCAUAUCCGCAGGCAUCUAGCUCAAGAAGCUCGGGGCUGCGCUUAUUUGAUACUUUGGCUGGACUGUGACCGAGAAGGAGAAAACAUAUGCUAUGAAGUUAUAGAGUGCACUGGGAUUCCUGAAAAUGAGGCUGGCAGAAGAAUUUUCCGUGCUAGAUUUUCAUCUGUUACUGAGAAGGACAUACUGAGUGCCAUGGAUAAUCUAGAUCUGCCAAACAAAGAUGAAGCAUUAUCAGUGGAUGCUCGCCAAGAAAUUGACUUGAAGGUUGGAGUAGCAUUUACUCGAUUUCAGACCCGAUAUUUCCAGGGAAAAUAUGGAAACCUUGAUUCAAGAGUGAUUUCGUAUGGUCCAUGCCAGACACCUACUCUGGGAUUCUGUGUGCAACGUUAUCAGCAAAUCACCACAUUCAAACCAGAGAAAUUCUGGUCCUUGAAGACUUAUAUUAUCAGAGAUGGUGAUGAAAUACAGCUAGAAUGGGACCGGAAGAAACUUUUUGAUUUUGAUGUUACUGUGAUGUUUCAGAAGAUGGUCGCCGGCGAUGGGACUCUAAAAAUAGCAGAUGUCUCAGUGAAGGAAGAGUGCAAAACCCGUCCAUCAGGCCUUAAUACAGUUAAUAUGCUUAAGGUUGCAUCAAGUGCGCUCGGUAUUGGACCUCAGACAGCGAUGCAUUUGGCGGAGCGGCUUUACACUCAAGGAUUCAUCAGUUAUCCACGUACAGAGAGUACUGCAUAUCCAGCGUCAUUUGGUUUUCGUAGUGCACUUGCUGGACUAGUACAUAAUCCUCUAUGGUCCAAUGAUGUCCGGACAUUACUGGAUGCUGGUUUUGUUAAGCCUCGUCAAGGUCUUGAUGCUGGGGACCAUCCUCCUAUUACUCCAAUGAGAUCAGCGACAGAAGAAGGUCUGGGAACUGAUGCUUGGAGGCUGUACCAAUACAUAUGCCAACACUUCAUUGGAACUGUUAGUCCUGAUUGUACUUAUACAGGAAUUCAACAGUAAGUAACCCUUCAAAAAAACAUGAUUCUCAGGACUGCCAUUGAGUUUACUUCAGGUGGAGAAACUUUCCACUGUGUUGGCUAUCGAGUCACUCAUAAAGGAUUUACCUCUAUCAUGCCAUGGCUGGCUGUCAGCGAGAAUAAUCUUCCUGCAUUUAGAAAGGGAGACUCUGUUAGUAUUCAUAAGGUUGACAUAUAUGAGGGAAGCACCACACCUCCUGAUUAUCUCAGUGAAAGUGAAUUGAUCUCUCUCAUGGAGAAGAAUGGCAUAGGUACAGACGCAUCAAUUCCUGUACAUAUAAACAACAUUUGUGAACGUAAUUAUGUUCAGGUGAACUCCGGAAGAAGGUUAGUACCGACACCACUGGGGACUACAUUGAUAAGAGGAUAUCAGUGUAUUGAUGCUGAUCUGUGCUUGCCAGAUAUCAGAAGCUUUAUUGAGCAACAGAUUACUCUAAUUGCAAAAGGCAAAGCUGAUCACCUUCAAGUUAUUCAACAUGUUAUUCAGCAAUUUAUGAAAAAGUACUCUUACUUUGUGAAAAAGAUUGAAAACAUGGAUGCUUUGUUCGAAGCACAAUUUUCACCUUUGGCAGACUCUGGGCGCUUACUGAGCAAGUGCGGAAAAUGUGGUCGGUAUAUGAAAUACAUGUCGACUCAGCCAAUGAGAUUGUAUUGUAUAACCUGUGAGGAUGUCUAUUAUCUUCCUCAGAACGGUUCGAUUAAGCUGUACAAGGAAAUCAUAUGCCCUCUUGAUGGUUUCGAGUUGCUUCUGUUCUCGAUGGUGGGACCUGAUGCAAAAUCUUUCCCGCUGUGUCCUUUUUGCUAUACUAAUCCUCCAUUUGAAGGCAUAGACAAACUCUUUGGUGCCCUCAAGAUAGAUGACACCGGCAAGGUUGGGAAAGGGGCUGGGAUGCCGUGUUCCCUUUGCCCGCACCCAACAUGCAAGCAAUCUAUGAUCACUCAAGGAGUUUGUGCAUGUCCUGAGUGUAGUGGUACCUUGAUUCUUGAUCCAGUUAGUGCACCCAAAUGGCAGCUUUACUGCAACAUGUGUAAUUGCAUUGUAUUGCUCCCACAUGCUGCCCAUAGGAUCACCACUACAGAUAAAAAGUGCCUAACAUGUGAGUCCACUAUCAUUGAAGUUGAUUUCAACAAGAAAACUACCCCUCUUCAAGAUGGAGCUACAUUGCAUGAGGGUUGUAUCUUGUGUGAUGAUCUGUUGCAUUCACUCAUUGAAAUGAAGCAUGGGCAGUCAUUCUUCAUGUGGAGAGGUAGAGGGAGAGGGAGAGGGAGGGGCCGGGGCAGAGGAAGUAACCGCGCUAGGGGAAGACGUGGGAACUCAAGGUAUGAUGAUCCUAAAAUGAGCUUCAGAGAUUUUUGAAGAUUUUGGGACUUCUACAGUGGCCAGCUAGUCUGUGAGCCUGCUAAAAUGAGCUUCAGAGAGUUUUGAAGAUUUUGGAUUUCAACAUUGGUCACUACUCUGUUGUCUCGAGCCCCUUCACCCACCAACUGAAGGUGGCCGCUUAAAAAUUCGCUUCGAGUUCAAGGAAAAUGAGCAGAGAACAACCCAAACUAACCUUGUGAACCCUAACGAAUGAAGGGUCGUAUUAACAGAACCAAUUCCUCUGGUAGCUCGUUUGCUUUGUAGAGGGAGCAAAGCAUUUGAUUGGAACCCAAAAACCAGGCAGGAAACAGGGAAGGGGUGUCUUGUGGAUGACUGCUGACAGGAACAGGUGGGAUCUGAUACCUUUAUUGAGUGAACUCAGUGGUGCAAGUCUUUGCUCGUAUUGUAUUAAUUAAUGUGCUGUAAAUCACACUGACAAAAAUGGGAUUAAUAUGAACUUAGUUCGAUCAUAGUUACUGA